AUUGAACGCUGGCGGCAGGCCUAACACAUGCAAGUCGAACGGUAACAGGAAGAAGCUUGCUUCUUUGCUGACGAGUGGCGGACGGGCGAGUAAUGUCUGGGAAACUGCCUGAUGGAGGUGGAUAACUACUGGAAACGGUAGCUAAUACCGCAUAACGUCGCAAGACCAAAGAGGGGGACCUUCGGGCCUCUUGCCAUCGGAUGUGCCCAGAUGGGAUUAGCUAGUAGGUGGGGUAACGGCUCACCUAGGCGACGAUCCCUAGCUGGUCUGAGAGGAUGACCAGCCACACUGGAACUGAGACACGGUCCAGACUCCUACGGGAGGCAGCAGUGGGGAAUAUUGCACAAUGGGCGCAAGCCUGAUGCAGCCAUGCCGCGUGUAUGAAGAAGGCCUUCGGGUUGUAAAGUACUUUCAGCGGGGAGGAAGGGAGUAAAGUUAAUACCUUUGCUCAUUGACGUUACCCGAAGAAGAAGCACCGGCUAACUCCGUG
rnacentral:rRNA from 1 species